AUUAAAAGCUGCUAUACACUUUGGAACUGGAAACUGAGCUCCCAAUAUAAAGGAGAUAAGCCAUCAUGCUUACAAUAUGUUGUGCAGAGCUCACUGGUGGGCAGUUUUUCUUAACAAUGCAUCAGGACUUUUGCUAUUUGUAAAGGAAGCUUAAAGGAAGCUGAGAGUGCUGAGGGCACAUCUGAAACCACUGGAGGUUGGCGACGUGGAGGUCAGGUAGUAGUGCUCUCCCACCAGGAGUCCCUCUGCACCCCUGGAGAGAGCAGUCAUUAUGCAGGACAACCCAUCUGCUCAGAACUUUCAGUGGCGACUUGUGGUGUGACUCUGUUCCCAUUCAUCUAUGUGCUGCUGUAGGCUUAGCUUCCCACAGCCUCCCCAGCUUUGCCAUUUGUCAUUAUCAUUUACUCUUAAUAUUUAUUCUAUCUAUGACCCUGAUGCACAGAGUGAUAGCUGAUAGUCUCUUAAAACAACGUUUACAAUUAUUUUGACAGUUUACCGUGUUUUGUUCUCUCAACAAUACUUAGAAUUUGUCUGAGUUAUAGUUGCAUAGACGGCAAUUUUCCUGACCUAGUUUUCUGACUAUGAUUUAUGGGUCAGUAAACUCCUUAAAUGAUGGAAUAUAACAUCUCAGGCCACAGGGAACACUUACUAUCACAUGCUCACUGUUGCAGGACGGAUGCGUGGCCAGCCUCAGGUUGCUAAAUGUUAGGGUGAUCUGCCUUCCUUCUGGGGCGGUGAUUCUCCACUUGUAGAUCCGGCCAUGAGGAUUUAGGUUCGGGUAGUUGGGAGAAGUAGAUGUUCCAGCAGAGCCCUGAAGAUCCCCACCACACUCUGAUGUGGGGGAAGAAAGCCAAGAAAACUUCCAAUCAAAUCAAAAUGUCUCCUUCCAUCAGGAAAGCUCUCAAAAUUCAGGUGUCCUGCGUGUACAAAGAAAAUAAUAAAAAACAAGACCUUGCCCAUGAAGAAAUAUUAAUCUCUCUCAAGAAAACAGGAAAACAUGAAUGAAAAUUAACAUAUUCAAAUAUAUGAAGAAGUGAAAAAAAUGCAACCAGUUAGGGGAAGGAUAUCUCAGGAUAAUGAGGAAGGCCAGUUUUUUGGUUGAAAAAGUGGUUUGAGACAACAGAGUGACAAAUAUCUGCCUUAUGCUACUGCCAGGAGACAUGCAUGACCCUCUUUCUGCCUCAAGCUAUAGAACACCCCUCAAAUAACGGCAUCUGGCAAUGGGAUGUCUCAGCAGCAACAGGUUGCCUUCCCACUACCGUUGCUCUCCCCAGGUGGCCUCCAGGGUAGGCUAUAUGACACCUGGGCUCUGGACAUCCAUUGUUAAUGGUAGAAUUGAGGUAGAGAAUCACUGGUACUGCCCAAAGCCCAUUAAUCUGCACUUCUUUGCAGAGUAUAGACAUGCUUUGCCUUUCUUGGAAGUGAAGAAACUUCAGAGGCUGAAUAAGUACAUGCGAAAAUAAACACCCCAAAGAGAGCAGAUAUAUUUCACUAACCAGAAGUAUGAUAGUCCCAGGUCUCCACAAAGUCUUUUUCACAGCCAGAGGAAUUCUGAAGGUUAAAAUCUUCAAAAGAGAUGGUGAGAUAGUGUCUGGAGAGCCCCUGGAGAUGCCAAUCACAGAAUAAGUUGUCUCUAUAUGGAAGCAUUAGAUGGCCAAUGCUUUCAACAACACCACUUUGCCCUGUUACUCUUCCCCCACACUGAGCUGAAAAAAAAAAGAAAGAAAGAAAGAAAAGAAAGAAAGGAUUCUAUUACAAACUGUGUUUUUUUCAUUUCACCAGCACAUGUGAAAACUUUUAGGUGCCAAGUGACUAUGAAUUGAAGUUUUUAAAAUUCUGAAAAUGCUUAGUGCUUUCCUCAUUAUUUGAAUUCUAGGGUUGAUGUAAACAGAAGUGAUACCACAAGUCCAAUCCAAUAAUGGGAAACAAGAUGACGACCAAAUGGCACAUUCUGUAAUGUCACAUUAAUUCUUUUGGGACACUAUGUAAGAGCUAUCAGUUGCAAGCAAGUUUCAUCUCAAGAACAAACUGGUAGACUCAUCUGACCUGCCUAGAACCUUGUGUUGAUUCUAAAGACUGAACCCAAGCUCACCUGGAAGGGGGGACACCUGCUAUAUCUAGUUUUACUAUCAACUAAACUUUCACUACUGUAACUGAUAUCUCAGGGCCUUGAAAAUUACUAUUCAAUUAUGUCUUAUUAGCUGGAUGUGGUAGCUAAUUGAAUUAUAUGCAGCUUGACCCGGGAUAUAAUAUGAUCUAUGGUGUAGUUAAAUACUGUUACAACUAGCCUUUCUGAACUUUUGCUAUAUUAAAUAUUUGUUUGGUUUGUGUCUAGACCUAUCAGAUACUAAAUUGUGUGCUAUUGUGACCAUACUAUAGUGAAUCUUCAACAAGCAAAGUUACUGCUCAAUUUUUAAGUAAGGAAAUCAAAAUCCUGAAGAGACAUAUUUGCUUUUUAUCCAGUGACUGAUUUGGCACUAGAGACUCAGAGAAAAAAAAAAAGCUUAAUCAUUUUAUAUAUGAUGAGGAAUUCAAAGACAUUGUUCUAAAUAUAGUUAUCUGGUUCUUAAAUAGUUGUAUUACUUAAAGUAAUAAACAUACUGUAGUUCUUCCUUUUCCUUGGCGGAUACAUUCCAAGUCCCCCCAGUGAGUGCCUAAAACCUUGGAUAGUACCAAACCCUAUAUAGACAUAUAGACAAUUUUUUUCUACAUAUAUGUACCUAUGAUAAAGCUUGCUUUAUCAAUUAAACGUAGUAAGAGAUUAACUAAUAAUAAAAUAGAACAAUCAUAACAAUAUACUGUAAGAAAAGUUAUGUAAAUGUGGUCUCUCAAAAUAUCUUGGUGUACUGUACUCACCUAUUUUUUGGGCCUCUGUUUACCAAGUGCAUUGAAACCAUGGAACAUGAAACCAUGGAUAAGAGAGAACUACUGAAUUUCAUAGUAAGCAGAAGAAACAGGAGUUUGAUUUAACUACACAUAUUUCUUCACAAAUAAGUUAGAAAAAAUAUAAAAUAUUCAAGUUUACUAAGAUUACAUUUUAAAAUAAAAAUUAAAAGAGAAAUUAAAGUUGAUGACUGUGGUUUUAAACAUUUACACUCCUUACUUAUUUAUAGCAUUAAAAUAUUUUUAAAAUUAUGCAGAUAGAAUGACUUCUUUUUAAAAAGUCAUGGUUUUAAAAAAAGUUUUAACAUAUUCAUCCUGUAAUAACUCUUUUAUUUAAUAUAAAAAUGUUUUCCAGGGUUUUUAUAGUUUUGUGUUUUACAGUUAAGUCUUCAAUCUAUCUUGAAUUGAUUUUUGUAUAUGGUAUAAGGAAGGGGUCCAGUUUCAAUCUUCCGCAUAUUGCUAGCCAGUUCUCCCAGCAUCAUUUAUUGGAUAGGGAGUCUUUUCCCCAUUGCUUGCUUUUGUCAGCUUUGUUGAAGAUCAGAUGCCUGUAAGUGUGAGGCCCUAUUUCUAAGCUCUCUAUUCCAUUUUAUUGGUCUAUGUGUCUAUUUUUGUACCAGUACCAUGCUGUUUUGGUUACUGUACCCCUGUAGUAUAGUUUCAAGUCAGGUAUUGUGAUGCCUCCAGCUUUGUUCUUUUAGUUUAGGAUUGCCUUGGUUAUUUGGGUUCUUUCUGGGGUCCAUAUGAGUUUUAAAAUAGUUUUUUCUAGUACUGUGAAGAAUGUCAUGGUAGUUUGAUAGGAAUAGCAUUGAAUAUGUAAAUUUGGGGAAGCAGUAUGACCACUUUAAUAAUACUGAUUCUUCCUAUCUAUGAGCAUGGAAUUUUUUUUCAUUUGAUAGGGUGGAGGGUGGGAGAAGGGAGAGGGGCAGAAAAAAUAGCUAUUAGAUACUAGGCUUAGUACCUGAGUGAUGAAAUAAUCUUUAUAAUGACCCCCAUGGCACGAGUUUACCUAUAUAACAAACCUGCACAUGUAACCCUGAACCUAAAAUAAAAGUUAAAAAAUAUAUAUUACCUAUAGAAUACUUGGCCUUGAAUCCCACAUGAGUGGGGC
rnacentral:lncRNA from 1 species